rnacentral:tRNA from 1 species
UUAACUAAAGCCAAAAACAGAGGCAUCUUAAUGUUAAUAAGAAAAAUGAUAUAUAAUAUCUAGUUAAA